UACGAAGGGUGCAAACGUUGCUCGGAAUUAUUGGGCGUAAAGCGCACGUAGGCGGCAUUGCAAGUCGGAUGUGAAAUCCCUCGGCUUAACCAAGGAAGUGCAUCCGAAACUGCAGUGCUUGAGUACUUAAGAGGAUCGCGGAAUUCCCGGUGUAGUGGUGAAAUGCGUAGAUAUCGGGAGGAACACCAGUGGCGAAGGCGGCUUUCUGGCCUGUUCUUGACGCUGAGGCGCGAAAGCUAGGGGAGCAAACGGG
rnacentral:rRNA from 1 species